AGCGAACGUUAGCGGCGCGCCUAACACAUGCAAGUCGCACGAGAAAGGGCUUCGGCCCCGGUAAAGUGGCGCACGGGUGAGUAACACGUGGGCAACCUGCCCAACCCUGGGGGAUAACCGACCGAAAGGUUGGCUAAUACCGCAUACGUUCUCUUGAGGUUCGCCGAUGGAGAAGAAAGGGGGGCAACUCCCGCUGAACGAUCAGCCUGCGUCCCAUCAGCUAGUUGGUGAGGUAACGGCUCACCAAGGCUACGACGGGUAGCUGGUCUGAGAGGAUGAUCAGCCACACUGGGACUGAGACACGGCCCAGACUCCUACGGGAGGCAGCAGUGGGGAAUAUUGGACAAUGGGCGAAAGCCUGAUCCAGCAAUGCCGCGUGAGUGAUGAAGGCCCUCGGGUUGUAAAGCUCUGUCGGGAGGGACGAACGGUCUCGGGUAACGCCGAGGAUUGACGGUACCUCCAAAGGAAGCACCGGCUAACUCUGUGCCAGCAGCCGCAGUAACAC
rnacentral:rRNA from 1 species